rnacentral:lncRNA from 1 species
UGAAUUCUCUCCCCCAAUGCCACAGACCUGAGGGCACGUGACCCAGGAAUGUGCAUCCAAAGAUAAUACUACCUUCAGAGAACUCUACUUAUAGUGGUGAAAUUGAGUCACUGCAGCAGCUGAGGCAGAGAGCUUUUCCUUCAGGAUUCACGGCCUAUUUCUCAGUUCUGGGAAAACAACUCUAACAACUCAACAGAGUGAAGAGAGAUAAAGAUGUUGGGAAUGACUGAUUUCAAACAAUCAAAACUGCUUUGGGGAUGAGGAUGAAGUUGGGACAUUACUGCCUUGUAUACCACAUACUAUAAUAUUUAUUAUGUCUAUUGUUUAUUGUAUGUGUCCUUCUUUAGAAUUUUAACUCCCCAAGGGCAAAGAUCCCUGACUGUUUUGUUUAUCAAUGUAUCCAAAAGGCCUAAAACAGAGCCUCGUACCUUAUACACACUCUGCAAAUAUUUGCUGAAUUGAAUAAAAGGCUGCCGAUCUAUAAA